AUGGCAGCUCAGAUCAACUCUAACCUCUAGAUACCUUGGAAAGGUAACGGGACAACUAACAAGAGGCAGGGAGGAUCAAGUCCUAGCCUCCUAGGAGGCAGUUCAACUACAAAACUUGCAAUUUGGUUGACUGAGAGUUGAUUUACAUAAAAUUCAUGUUGAUACCUCAUAAUAGCCCCCUGUUCCUAUCUCAAAUAAUUGUGGCUUCCCAGGUCCUAGCAAAUAUUCCUUUGCUUAUCCUUCGUCACCAGGAAGGAGUAUAAUUUAUGCAAGUGGAUAGUAAAACACUUGACCUUCAGUAUUUGUAAAGGUUGCACUGCUUUCAAUCUGUUCUUUGAUGUAUCCAUAGAAAUGAUCCAACUCCAUCAUGCACUUUUUAACCAUUGCCUUCAGUAUCCCAGAAAAGAUAAAGCACACUGAAAUUAUAACCAAAAAAGGGGGAUAUUAAUGAAUCAUCAGCUCACUUACAAAAGCACAGCUUCUCAGUCUUUGUUAGCUGUUUAAAAUUCUUAUUGAAGAAAUGAAGACUUCCAGUGCAGAAUUCUGAACAGCAUUUUAGUGCUUGCUUAGUUGCUUAAACUGACAGUUUCAGGAAAGUAUAGUAAAUCUUCUUCCAAUAAACGUAUUUGAGCAUAUCUAUAUUUUUCUUGUGAUUCUAACAUUGUUCACGUACUGACUUCCUCCAUUUCCUACACUGCAGCUGGUGCUAACAAAUAACAGGACAAGCUUACCCUACAGAUAAUAAAAAUGGGGUUCUGAUAACCUUUGAAGGAGACAAAUGAAAAUACAUAUUGUGAGAGAGGCAAAACCAUAAGAUGACAAUUGAGCAGUGGACCUUCAUACAAACAUUUGACCAAUACAUACCACCUGUUGAUGCCACCAAUUUUGUCUAAAUUUUGGAGAAAAAGAGAGAGCUGAAGGUACCUCUUGCUUCAUGAGGAUAAAAAGGGCGCACCCAGUGUUGUAGGCUUUCCGCACUGUGCGGGGUUUGGGGAAGGGUAUCUUUAAGCGACAAGUCUUACCCACGUAAUAUGCAGAGGCUGGGGCUCGAACCCGAGACCUUCCGGUUACAGACGGUAGGCUCUACCGCUGCACCGAUGCCCCAGAAAUUUCUUAGGAGGCAACAAGAUGUAGGGAUCAUUGGCUGC
rnacentral:lncRNA from 1 species